ACUAUGCGGGCCUGUCUCUUGUUCUUUUAUGCUAAGAGGAUUCACUGGAGGAUUUUUAUUUUUGGAAAGAGAGAACGUAAGAUAUAUUUUAGGUGCUACACUAUCAACAAUUUUUCUUUUGUUGAGAAACCGAUAAGCCAUUUCUUCGGAAGACCAAAUUGAAAUGUGGGAAUCAGGCUUAGAAGGCGUUUUAUAUUCAAGUGUCAUAUUCUUUUUUUUUUUUUUUUACUUGUUAUAUUCUUAAGAUUAUUCUCUAGAUUUUUCUUCCACCCAGCUGUAGUCAGUAGCUGCAGAAUUGGUUUUGUUUCUUAUCACCACAGAACCCAUGCCAGCCCCAGCACCCCUGCAAGAAGCUUCCAAAGCAGAUACUUUUACCUGGAUAAAUUUCCUGUGUUCAAAGGACAAAGGCUGUGAGGUUCCACUGUUUAGCCCUGUGGGGAUUCUAAAAGGAUGAUCUCUGAUACCCCAGAAUUUGCCCUGUUGUCCAUACAGAGAAUUGUGAGAAUGGUGGUUGGUAGGUGUUUACUACAACUCCCCCCACCCCCACCCUCUAUUUUUAUGUCUUCAAGAGUUUUCGUGGCUGACACCUCUCUGCAGUCUUCCUUGUUCUUGUAUUAGGUUAUUGUUGCCAAAAUACCCAAGAAGUUGGAUGCACCUUUGACAAAUCCAUUAAUAAAGGCCAGAAUCCAAAUUCUAACUGAGGAGGUCUGCAGCUGACCUGAAGAUGCAGACUUCUUUGUGAUGCAUUUUCUGUAGUGGUUGGGAGGGAGGGUGGGCUAUACCUAAUAAGAUACUAUGCCAAACUAGUGACCCCCCCCACUCCACAUCUCUAAGUCUAUUCCCCUUCCCCACAAGAUAAGACUGACUUAUUUUGAAAAAUUCAAGGCCCAUGUCUGCCAACUGACUUUAAUGAAACGUGCUGGAAAUUAGUAAUGUAUAUGUGUAUAUGUGAAAUGUCCUGUACAUUCUCAAAAGCCAUUUUAUAAUUCAGGUAACUUGUGGCUUUUGAAAUAUUUUGCUUGGUAUAGGAGAUAACAUUUUUUUGGUGGUGAUGUUUAAAAUAAUAAUUAUAAUAGCACAACUCUGUUCAAUCUUUUUAAAGAUAUUGUUUAUAUCUCAUUAAAUAGCCCAAGAGUUCUGAAAAGUCUGUUACAUAAUAUCUUAAAUAUUUUAAAGUUUUUAACAGUAUUUUUCUUUAUGCUGUCUCCUUUUAGUAAUAAUACGUUGACUUCUUCAGCCCGGUGGCUCCUCCAGCUAUAAAAUAAAUGUGGAAGGCUACAUACAUUCCAUAUAUACCCAUAAAGCUAUUCUGAUACCUAUUUAUAUGUAUAUGAGUAUAUGUCUCUAAUGUAGACAUAUGUGUACUUAGUGUGUAUAUACUUAGAAGUGAAAGGGAAGAUAGUUCUUUUCAUGAACAAUUUAUUACAUGUUUUUGGUACCUAGCUGUGUAAUCCUACAGACAUGGACAUUUUAUAGCUAAAUGAGACCAUAGAGUUCAUCACAGAAACAUUUGAGUGGCAGCUUUAAGUGCCUGGCACAGUGAAUUCAAACAUGGAUAAGACCCCAUUCUUGUUCCUCACCUUAUAACCUCUCAUUUUGCAAAAUAGCAGAAAAUGGAAGAAAUUGCCCAAGGUUCUCUGGUAAUGGUGGGGCCAUCAAAGCUUGUGAAGUCCCUUCCUGGUAGCUGACCAUAGCAUUCAUCUUCUCUUCUCAUGCUUAAUGAAAAUAUCAGGCAGAAUAGAGAACAGACCAGAAACCUGAGUUUGUAAUAUCAUUUGUUUUGCUGGUGUUCAUUGUUCUUUGGAAUCAGUGCCUGUCACUUAAGAAGACUCAGGAUGGCCCUUCAGUGAGGCCAUGCUCCUGGGGCCUGAUGGUCCCUUUCUCGCAGCAGCAGGGACAGAGAGCAUAAGUUUGGCCUUAUGUAGUCCUCUGCUUAAAUAAUGUAACUUGUUAUUUGCUUCAACUGGACCUUAGAGCCUCUAGGGCCCUGGCUCACAUACUUAUAUUCUAGAAUAUAUUCUUCAUUUACAUAGGGGAGUGGCUUUGCUUUCACACUUGUUCUGACUGCUGCUGCCAUGACCUUGUAACACACAGUGGUUGCUUGUGCCAUAUGGUGUGCACCUGUAGUGGGUUAGUGGUUCUGUGGGGACUGAUCUUUGAGACCCCCAUUGUGAAUAUUGGACUUUUGAGUGUCUUCUUCUCUGAAAUCAUCUCACAGGGACUGAGUGUCUGCUGACAGCUCAGGUAGCUGAAGACAGCUCAUGUUUCUAGCAUGGUUUAUGUGUUUUCUGCUUUGUCAGAAUGCUUGAAGUCCGAGGCAUUUUGAGACACAAAGGAAGAAAUGUAAAUGAGAGGAUUGAACAGUGGGAAUUUAGGUCAUUUUUAUAACUUCCAAGUUUUAAUUUUUCCUAAGGUAUUUCCCAAGUUUUUACUAAUGGAAACAUUCAACCCUGGAGACUCCUGUACAUUUGAUAUCCUACCACCUCCAGUGUAUUUUCCAGCUUGUCACCAUGGAAGGCAGAGCCCAGACAGAAGAGAGGAAGAGAGAGCAUGGCAUUUAUUAGCCAGAAGAGACCCCAGAGUUCAUGGUGGGAAGGGAGAGAAGACCUGGUUUGGGAAGAUGAAGGAAAGGAAUCUGUUUCCCCUUGGGCUUGCUAGUUUGAAGGUGGUGAUUUUUGAUUAUGAAACCUUUACUGUGGGAGCAUGUAGGAGGAGCAGAUAGAUAAUAAUGCUC